CUUUUUUGAAAUCAGACUUGGCAAUGUGUACCACUAAGAACAAAGAAACCAGCUCUAUCAUUGCUUAAUCUCUUAUACUCUGGGGAUGUGUAGUCUAUUCUACGGUAAAAUGUGUGGUCAGUUGUUUUCUCCAUGGAAUGACACAGAGCCUUGUGGUUGUUAGGUUAGGGAAUUGGUGCAUGGCACACUGUGGGAGGAGUUGCUGUAUGUGGGGCCACAGACGAGAGACACAAACAGUCUGUGGACAAGGUGUGGGCGGUGACUGAUGACCAGCAUCACAUGUGAAUCAAGUCUCCAUAAGACUCAAUAAAGAGUGAAGAGGGCUCUGGAGAACAUGACACCUGAACCCACACUACUCACAUCAUGUGCUCAGCACAGCCAUUAUGAACUCAAAAUGCACAGGAGUUGAAGUGCAGGUUCAGGUCAAUGCUCCAUCACAAAUAAAUAAAAUAACAUCUGUGGAGUCUAUCGCUGGGAAGUGGACGGAGUGGAACACCACUGUUACCAUGGAGCGCUAACAGCGGACCAGCAGUGGAAGAAGAGGUAAUUACAGGAAGAUUCACCAACCUUCAAAGCCCUGUACUCUCUGGUCAUGGACAAACGCCUGCAGAAUGAUCUCGAUCAGAUGGGACAGUUCAAGCACACAGGAACACUUGAGGUAUUUCACAGUUCUAUGUUGAAAUACUGUCAAAAGCGUCUCCACUUCAAAGACUACAGCAUGAAAGCCCGUACCCAGUUGACAGUUUUGGACCAGAAUGAGAAUCAGAACCGUAAUAGAGGACAAGCCUCAACCAUUGUUGUCAACGUUGGAUUGCCCGGCCAAUAUACCAGCCCACCAGGAAUGACCUGAUUGAGCGCAUCCUCAUGGACAAAUUAGUGAAAUACUGGGAGCCAAAAUCCUGUGGAAGCGGCUGUCGUCUGGCUGCCAACAGCCCCCAUCCCAAACCCCAGCAAGGAGGUGGUUAUUGCAGCACACACAUCAAGACUCAAGGACACUUGGGGGAUUUUCUGACCCCCCCCCCCCCCCAACCUAAUACGAACACACUCCAUUGUAAUAUAAUUUGUUAGCAUCUUAUCCUUAACACUGGAUUUGAUAAAAAUCCAUCUAAUGUAGGCUUCUACUGUAAAUAAAAGCGCCGCCAUACCUACUUUAUACUGUCUAUUUUAACAUUGGUUGAUGUGAAUUUUGAGAAUGCCUUGUCUAUACUGUGUAUUGUUCGUUGUUGUAUUGAACCUUUAUUUAACUAGGCAAAUCAGUUAAGAACAAAUUCUUAUUUACAAUGACGGCCUACCUGGCCAAACCUGGCCAACGCUGCGCUGCCCUAUGGGACUCCCAAUCAUGGCCAGAUGUGAUACAGCCUGGAUUCAAACCAGGGACUGUAGUGACACCUCUUGCACUGAGAUGCAGUGCCUUAGACUGCUGCGCCACUUGGGUGCAGUGAUCUGUGUUGUAAAAAAUAAAUGAUUGUCUUUGCUGAUUCAUCGAUUGUCAUGUCAUUUACGUAGGUAUACGCCAUGAUUUGUUGGGUGUUACCA
rnacentral:lncRNA from 1 species